rnacentral:rRNA from 1 species
CCUACGGGCGGCAGCAGUGAGGAAUAUUGGUCAAUGGACGAGAGUCUGAACCAGCCAAGUAGCGUGAAGGAUGACUGCCCUAUGGGUUGUAAACUUCUUUUAUAUGGGAAUAAAAUGUUCCACGUGUGGGAUUUUGUAUGUACCAUAUGAAUAAGGAUCGGCUAACUCCGUGCCAGCAGCCGCGGUAAUACGGAGGAUCCGAGCGUUAUCCGGAUUUAUUGGGUUUAAAUGGAGCGUAGGUGGAUUGUUAAGUCAGUUGUGAAAGUUUGCGGCUCAACCGUAAAAUUGCAGUUGAAACUGGCAGUCUUGAGUACAGUAGAGGUGGGCGGAAUUCGUGGUGUAGCGGUGAAAUGCUUAGAUAUCACGAAGAACUCCGAUUGCGAAGGCAGUUCACUGGACUGCAACUGACACUGAGGCUCGAAAGUGUGGGUAUCAAACAGGAUUAGAUACCCUUGUAGUC